UGGGGAAUACUAGGCAAUGGGGGGAACCCUGACCUGGCGACGCCGCGUGACAGAUGAAAGCAAUUAUGCUGUAAAAGUCUUUUACUCGUGAAGAUAAUGACGAUGUAACGAGAGAAAAAGCUCCGGCUAACUUCGUGCCAGCAGCCGCGGUAAUACGGGGGGAGCAAGUGUUGUUCGGAAUGAUUGGGCGUAAAGGGCGUGUAGGCGGUUUUGUAAGUGAAAUGUUAAAUACUUGGGCUUAACCUAAGAACUGCAUUUCAUACUACAUCACUAGGAUACGGAAGAGGAGAUGGGAAUUUCUGGUAGAGGGGUGAAAUCCAAUGACAUCAGAAGGAACACCAAAGGCGAAGGCAAAUCUCUGGGACGAUAUCGACGCUGAGGCGCGAAAGUGUGGGGAGCAAACAGG
rnacentral:rRNA from 1 species